rnacentral:rRNA from 1 species
GAUGAACGCUGGCGGCGUGCCUAAUACAUGCAAGUCGAGCGAACAGACGAGGAGCUUGCUCCUCUGACGUUAGCGGCGGACGGGUGAGUAACACGUGGAUAAACUACCUAUAAGACUUGGAUAACUUCGGGAAACCGGAGCUAAUACCGGAUAAUAUAUUGAACCGCAUGGUUCAAUAGUGAAAGACGGUUUUGCUGUCACUUAUAGAUGGAUCCGCGCCGCAUUAGCUAGUUGGUAAGGUAACGGCUUACCAAGGCAACGAUGCGUAGCCGACCUGAGAGGGUGAUCGGCCACACUGGAACUGAGACACGGUCCAGACUCCUACGGGAGGCAGCAGUAGGGAAUCUUCCGCAAUGGGCGAAAGCUUGACGGAGCAACGCCGCGUGAGUGAUGAAGGUCUUCGGAUCGUAAAACUCUGUUAUUAGGGAAGAACAAAUGUGUAAGUAACUAUGCACGUCUUGACGGUACCUAAUCAGAAAGCCACGGCUAACUACGUG